rnacentral:rRNA from 1 species
GACGAACGCUGGCGGCGUGCUUAACACAUGCAAGUCGAACGGAAAGGCCAUGCUUUUGCGGGGUGCUCGAGUGGCGAACGGGUGAGUAACAAGUGAGUAACCUGCCCUUGACUUAGGGAUAACUUCAGGAAACUGGGGCUAAUACCGGAUAGGAGCUCCUGCUGCAUGGUGGGGGUUGGAAAGUUUCGGCGGUUGGGGAUGGACUCGCGGCUUAUCAGCUUGUUGGUGGGGUAGUGGCUUAACAAGGCUUUGACGGGUAGCAGGCCUGAGAGGGUGACCGGCCACAUUGGGACUGAGAAACGGCGCAGACGCCUACGGGAGGCAGAAGUGGAGAAUAUUGCACAAUGGGCGCGAGCCAGAUGCAGCAACGCCGCGUGCGGGAUGACGGCCUUCGUGUUGUGAACCGCUUUCUCCUGUGACGAAGCGUGUGGGACGGUAAUGGGUAAAGAAGCACCGGGUAACUACGUG